rnacentral:rRNA from 1 species
GUGUCAGCAGCCGCGGUAAUACGGAGGGUGCAAGCGUUGUCCGGAAUUAUUGGGCGUAAAGCGCGCGCAGGCGGUUCCUUAAGUCUGAUGUGAAAGGCCACAGCUCAACUGUGGAGGGCCAUUGGAAACUGGGGAACUUGAGGACAGAAGAGGAGAGCGGAAUUCCACGUGUAGCGGUGAAAUGCGUAGAUAUGUGGAGGAACACCAGUGGCGAAGGCGGCUCUCUGGUCUGUAACUGACGCUGAGGCGCGAAAGCAUGGGUAGCGAACAGGAUUAGAUACCCCGGUAGUCC